CCUCGGCGGGCUGGUCGCUUGGCUGGUCCUGGUGACUCCCGCCUCGAUCCUGUGUGCCACGUCAUGCUGCGCAUGGCUCUACUUCCUGCAUCUGAGUGGACGCAAAGCCCAAUCACCUGCGGAGAUGAACGAAGUCUGCGUCACAGCUGCCACCAGGCUGAGCAAGAUGGGGCCCAUCAACACCAGCGACCUCUUGAUAGCUUACGGCCUGGUGGCCUACGUCGGUUUCACCACAAUCGGCGCAGUCUUGGGGUACAACGC